rnacentral:sRNA from 2 species
GUGGGGCGCGUCUAGGGUUCCGCCGGCCGUACUCGUUGACGGCCGGGUCUGGUCCGAGAGACGCAGGCGGCCGGCACCGACGCAUGACCGUUCCACGGCGGGACAAAAGCCCGGGAGAC